UACGAAGGGGGCUAGCGUUGCUCGGAAUCACUGGGCGUAAAGGGCGCGUAGGCGGCCUGAUAAGUCGGGGGUGAAAGCCUGUGGCUCAACCACAGAAUUGCCUUCGAUACUGUUAGGCUUGAGACCGGAAGAGGUGAGUGGAACUGCGAGUGUAGAGGUGAAAUUCGUAGAUAUUCGCAAGAACACCAGUGGCGAAGGCGGCUCACUGGUCCGGUACUGACACUGAGGUGCGAAAGCGUGGGGAGCAAACAGG
rnacentral:rRNA from 1 species